rnacentral:rRNA from 1 species
UACAGAGGGUGCAAGCGUUGUUCGGAAUUAUUGGGCGUAAAGGGAGUGUAGGCGGCUUUUUAAGUCUUCUGUGAAAUCUACGGGCUUAACCUGUAACGUGCAGAGGAUACUGGAGAGCUUGAGUGUCGGAGAGGAUAGUGGAAUUCCCGGUGUAGAGGUGAAAUUCGUAGAGAUCGGGAGGAACACCAGUGGCGAAGGCGACUGUCUGGCUGACAACUGACGCUGAGACUCGAAAGCAUGGGGAGCAAACAGG